rnacentral:rRNA from 1 species
ACUCCUACGGGAGGCAGCAGUGGGGAAUAUUGCACAAUGUGCGCAAGCCUGAUGCAGCCAUGCCGCGUGUAUGAAGAAGGCCUUCGGGUUGUAAAGUACUUUCAGCGGGGAGGAAGGCGAUAAGGUUAAUAACCUUGUUGAUUGACGUUACCCGCAGAAGAAGCACCGGCUAACUCCGUGCCAGCAGCCGCGGUAAUACGGAGGGUGCAAGCGUUAAUCGGAAUUACUGGGCGUAAAGCGCACGCAGGCGGUCUGUCAAGUCGGAUGUGAAAUCCCCGGGCUCAACCUGGGAACUGCAUUCGAAACUGGCAGGCUAGAGUCUUGUAGAGGGGGGUAGAAUUCCAGGUGUAGCGGUGAAAUGCGUAGAGAUCUGGAGGAAUACCGGUGGCGAAGGCGGCCCCCUGGACAAAGACUGACGCUCAGGUGCGAAAGCGUGGGGAGCAAACAGGAUUAGAAACCCCAGUAGUCCC